AUUUAUAGUACACAAUUAAAAAUCUGUGAAAUUAAUUAUUAAUGGUACAAAAUAUCUGUUGUAAUGAUUCUUUCAUUUUAAAUAUACAAAGUAUAAAAUGUGUACGAGAACAAAGUGUCUGUGUUCAAUUAUAGUAUAAAUACUGGAGUUUAUGUGCAUCUGGCAUCACUACUCGGCGUUUAUGACGUUCUUUUUUUAUAUGUUGGUCAUACAAGGAUUUUGUGAAAAGUGAUGUGAUAUAUAGAAGACUUGUUAAUGAUUGGUACUCAAAGUCAUAUCAGAUAAAUUACCAAGCAUUUAUAGUUAUAAAAAAUCAAAAGAACAUAUUAUUCGCCUGAAUUAGUACUUAGUUUAGUAAGUGUCCUAUGAGAAUACCAGCCACAUUAGAAAAAAUAUAUUGUCGAAAGAGCAACUGUUGCCUGCGUGUUUUUUCAGGAAUGAUCCAGCAACGAUACAUGAUAUACUAUGCAAGGCAUAUUGAUGUUCUGUACACCAGUGUCUAUAGUGGGACCUGAGACGGUUUACAAGUGUGCCGUCAUUAAAGCCACUUAUAUCACCGAUGCGCCACAGUAUCGCGCCUGGGAAUUAUCAAACGUCAACAUCAUACAAGGAUUACUCAAAACAUACAAAAAUGUUGAAUAAGAAGAUAGUAAUUUAUAUCAUUUAUACAGAAGUGAAUAAUGUAAAGUCACACUGAAAAAGACUACUUAGUACCUACUAUACUAAAACAAUUUAAAUUUUGAUGCUUAUAGUAACUUAGCAUGAGUUGAUAAAUAUUAACUUACUUUUCCUAUGCUCACAAGUAUAUAAAAA